GUAGGUGGGCAAGCGUUGUCCGGAAUUAUUGGGCGUAAAGCGCGCGCAGGCGGUCCUUUAAGUCUGAUGUGAAAGCCCACGGCUCAACCGUGGAGGGUCAUUGGAAACUGGGGGACUUGAGUACAGAAGAGGAAAGCGGAAUUCCAAGUGUAGCGGUGAAAUGCGUAGAGAUUUGGAGGAACACCAGUGGCGAAGGCGGCUUUCUGGUCUGUAACUGACGCUGGGGCGCGAAAGCGUGGGGAGCAAACAGGAUUAGAUACCCUGGUAGUCCACGCCGUAAACGAUGAGUGCUAAGUGUUAGGGGGUUUCCGCCCCUUAGUGCUGCAGCUAACGCAUUAAGCACUCCGCCUGGGGAGUACGGCCGCAAGGCUG
rnacentral:rRNA from 1 species